UGCAGUCGAGCGGAUCGAUGGGAGCUUGCUCCCUGAGAUCAGCGGCGGACGGGUGAGUAACACGUGGGUAACCUGCCUGUAAGACUGGGAUAACUCCGGGAAACCGGGGCUAAUACCGGAUAACACCUACCCCCGCAUGGGGGAAGGUUGAAAGGUGGCUUCGGCUAUCACUUACAGAUGGACCCGCGGCGCAUUAGCUAGUUGGUGAGGUAAUGGCUCACCAAGGCGACGAUGCGUAGCCGACCUGAGAGGGUGAUCGGCCACACUGGGACUGAGACACGGCCCAGACUCCUACGGGAGGCAGCAGUAGGGAAUCUUCCGCAAUGGACGAAAGUCUGACGGAGCAACGCCGCGUGAGUGAAGAAGGUUUUCGGAUCGUAAAACUCUGUUGUUAGGGAAGAACAAGUGCCGUUCGAAUAGGGCGGCGCCUUGACGGUACCUAACCAGAAAGCCACGGCUAACUACGUGCCAGCAGCCGCGGUAAUACGUAUGUGGCAAGCGUUGUCCGGAAUUAUUGGGCGUAAAGCGCGCGCAGGUGGUUUCUUAAGUCUGAUGUGAAAGCCCACGGCUCAACCGUGGAGGGUCAUUGGAAACUGGGGAACUUGAGUGCAGAAGAGGAAAGUGGAAUUCCAAGUGUAGCGGUGAAAUGCGUAGAUAUUUGGAGGAACACC
rnacentral:rRNA from 2 species